rnacentral:rRNA from 1 species
AUUGAACGCUGGCGGCAGGCCUAACACAUGCAAGUCGAGCGGGGUGAUGGUGCUUGCACUAUCACUUAGCGGCGGACGGGUGAGUAAUGCUUAGGAAUCUGCCUAUUAGUGGGGGACAACAUCUCGAAAGGGAUGCUAAUACCGCAUACGUCCUACGGGAGAAAGCAGGGGAUCACUUGUGACCUUGCGCUAAUAGAUGAGCCUAAGUCGGAUUAGCUAGUUGGGGGGGUAAAGGCCUAACAAGGCGACGAUCUGUAGCGGGUCUGAGAGGAUGAUCCGGCACACUGGGACUGGGACACGGCCCAGACUCCUACGGGAGGCAGAAGUGGGGAAUAUUGGACAAUGGGGGGAACCCUGAUCCAGCCAUGCCGCGUGUGGGAAGAAGGCCUUAUGGUUGUAAAGCACUUUAAGCGAGGAGGAGGCUCUUUUGGUUAAUACCCAAGAUGAGUGGACGUUACUCGCAGAAUAAGCACCGGCUAACUCUGUGCCAGCCGCCGCCGUAA